rnacentral:rRNA from 1 species
CCCUUAGAUGUUCUGGGCCGCACGCGUGCUACACUGAUAUUGCCAAUAUGUCAUUCUUAUCCGAAAUGGAUUGGGUAAUCAAGUAAUGAAAUUUCAUGCUUGGAAUCGGUAAUUGCAAUUUUAUCGUGAACGAGGAAUUCCUAGUAAGCGCGAGUCAUCAGCUCGUGCUGAUUACGUCCCUGCCCUUUGUACACACCGCCCGUCGCUGCAACUGAUUGGGUGACCUGGUGAACAUCUUGGACCGGCCCACUCAAUUUCGAGAGGACUGGAAAAGGCCGUAAAUCAGGUACAUCUAGAAAUUGCAAGUCGUAACA